rnacentral:rRNA from 1 species
ACCCGCUGAACUUAAGCAUAUCAAUAAGCGGAGGAAAAGAAACCAACAGGGAUUGCCCUAGUAACGGCGAGUGAAGCGGCAACAGCUCAAAUUUGAAAUCUGGCGUCUUUGGCGUCCGAGUUGCAAUUUGCAGAGGGCGCUUUGGCAUUGGCAGCGGUCCAAGUUCCUUGGAACAGGACGUCACAGAGGGUGAGAAUCCCGUACGUGGUCGCUAGCCUUUACCGUGUAAAGCCCCUUCGACGAGUCGAGUUGUUUGGGAAUGCAGCUCUAAAUGGGAGGUAAAUUUCUUCUAAAGCUAAAUACUGGCCAGAGACCGAUAGCGCACAAGUAGAGUGAUCGAAAGAUGAAAAGCACUUUGGAAAGAGAGUUAAAAAGCACGUGAAAUUGUUGAAAGGGAAGCGCUUGCAGCCAGACUUGCCUGUAGUUGCUCAUCCGGGUUUUUACCCGGUGCACUCUUCUAUAGGCAGGCCAGCAUCAGUUUGGGCGGUUGGAUAAAGGUCUCUGUCAUGUACCUCUCUUCGGGGAGAACUUAUAGGGGAGACGACAUGCAACCAGCCCGGACUGAGGUCCGCGCAUCUGCUAGGAUGCUGGCGUAAUGGCUGU